AACUUUUAGAAAUUAUUAAAAGCAACUCCUGCUCAAUGACUUUUAAAUAGCCGCAGAACUAUCUGUGCUAAGGUAGCAUAAUCACUUGCCUUUUAAUUAAAGGAUAGAAUGAAAGGAUUAACGAAUUAAUAACUAUUAUGAAAAUUUAUAAUAAACUUAUUCUAAAUGUUAAAAAACAUUUAUAUAAAAGAAAGACAAAAAGACCCUAUUGAACUUUACUACUAGUUUAGCUGGGACGGCUAAAAAAUUAAAACUUUUUUUAAAUCUUUAUACAGACCCAUUACCAACGCAAAGAACAAGUUACCAUAGGGAUAACAGCACAAUAAAAUUCUAAAGCCCAUAUAAAAAAUUUAGAUUGUGACCUCGAUGUUGAAUAAUAAAUCUCUCUUUAGCAAAAAAAAGAAAAGAAGGUCUGUUCGACCAUUAAAAUAUUACA
rnacentral:rRNA from 1 species